AGUCCCACAGUGCUCUGCGGUGCCCAGAGGAAGAAAGUGGAACAGCCCUCCCUACGAAGGACCAACCGUUUCCAGCAUUUCUUUAAUCGCAUGUCUUUGAAACUGGCCAGAUUUAAGUGACCAUCUACUCACACUUCAUAAAUUCCCUUGCACAUGGCAAGUCACUUCAGUCGCCCAUGUAGGCACUGAAAAUAAAAGGGAUCGCUGUGGAGAAGCUGUGGCAGUCAUCACACUCCUUUUAUCGAAAUCAUAUGCUAAUUAUCAUUUGUUUGUUUGUUUUGUUUUGUUUUUGUUUGUUUUUUUCGAGACAGGGUUUCUCUGUGUAGCCCUGGCUGACCUGGAACUCACUUUGUAGACCAGGCUGGCCUCGAACUCAGAAACCCACCUGCCUCCUAAUUAUCAUUUAUUAGGAAUGACAGGGCGGUGUGGUGUGUCUAUAACUAGCGGGUGUGUGUGCAGAGGGAUCUAGAAAAGUCUCUCGCUUUAAGAUGAUACAGUCUGCAAAGAGAGAAAACACAAAGACCUCACAAACAAACCAAUGAAUCAUGCCAGGCCGUGAUAAAGACUCUCCGAGGACACAGUUACCCAGCGAUGACGUCACAGAAAAGGCAAGAGGGCCUGACAGGGAUCUCAGAGGACAAACAGAGUCUCACCAGACCCGACGGAACCGUUCCAGGUGGAUGAAGGGUGUGAUCGGAGCGGCCUUAGUGGAGUCUGUGGAAACUGGGAAAUAGUGGGCCUUAAGCUGGGAAUGUGGAUUCAGGCCAGAAUGUGGAAGGAAACUAAGGCGCUUGGACUUCAUCCUAGUGGAAGAACUGCAAUCCAGUGACUAAGCAGCUAUGACAGAAUGUGUGUAUUUUGGGACGUGUUUCUACAUAUCAACAGCAAGGCAAGAGGAAUCCAGGUCAUUUGUUGAAUAUUUUAAACUUCCAGAAAAUGACUUUUUGAUAAAUCACCCAAAUACUUCAAAUUGACAUUUUUAAAGGCAAAUUUCCCAGAAAG
rnacentral:lncRNA from 1 species